UAUGUCAUUCUGUCUCAAAUUAGUAUCCCAGGAAUCAGAAGGGAGAAGUUUACCUCUGUGCUUUCCUUUGCCGCACUGAUAUUCUAUGGUCAACUACCACCAGAUGUUGACCAUAGCGCUAUGCUGAAGAACCUAGAGAUUCCUAGAGAGGUGUUUUCCAAGAUCCAAGGCAGAUGGAGAGAGGUGUGAGUUCUCAUUGGAAUCACGGAGAAAGGUGUGCACCCAAACAAAGGUUAUCAAGAUGUUCUCCAAAUAAUGAAGUUAGGAAAGUGCUUCCCUUCAGAAUCACCUUGGUAUAAUUGCAAGCUGCCUUGGAGAAUUCUCAAAAA